CUGUCGGAACAGACAGAACACCUCCCGCCCCCGACCCCCAGCCCUCGACCCGGUGCCUUUCUCUCCUCCCGUUGCUUUUCUCUCCUCCUCCAUCUCCGCCCCUGAUUUCUCCUCCAUCUCUGCGCCUGUCCCCAUCGUUUUUCUCUCCAACAGAAAUAGAAAGAGGAGAGCAAUUCGCAGCGGCCCCUGAGCAUCGUCGUCGCGCCUCCUCUUCUCGGCGUCGCAGACUCAUCUGCUCCGCCUUAGCAAUCGUCAUCCUCUACUCGACGUCGCAGAGUCCUCUGCUCCACCUGAGGAACCGUCGCCGCGGCUCCUCUGCUCCACCUGAGGAACUGUCGCCGCGCCUCCUCUGCUCCACCUGAGGAACCGUCGCCGCGCAUCCUCUGCUCCGCCUGAGGAAUCGGCACAGAUUGGCCAGAGGCGGAGGUUGGAGAAUGCACAUCCAGAUUGUGAAGGGUGGCAAUUCAUUUCGGAGGUGUGCAUUUCCUCUGUCUCUGGGUCUAAGGUGAGUCGAAGAGAAGAAUAUUGCAUUCUGGUCACGUGGUGAUGGCGACGGCGUUGUUUGUGUUCUUGACUCCGAGCUUGCUGUUUCAGUUGCCCAACCAGAACAGAGUGGUGGAGUUUGCAAACCUGCACACCAGUGGGAUCUCCAUUUUGAUUCACUCCAUCAUCUCUUUGAACUGGUUACCAUAUUCCUCAUAGCCAUCAAGUUUCCUAUUUACACAGGAUAGAAGCACUAGGAAGCAUGAGGCAGAGUCUCUCUCCUGUUGUCUCGACUACACAAUUCAUUAGGAUGACAUAAAAUCAUAAUAACCCUUGUUCUCCUGAAUUAAGGAGGUCUUGUGCACAACAAAACAUUUUACUCAUACUUACUAGAAAAGAGAACUUUUGCCUACCUAUAGAACCCAGCCAUACCGAACCCACACCAGCCUUAGUUAGGUCUAGGCUUGGCCGGCUACGCCCGGCCCGGCGCGGCCCUCUUCCUCGGCCACCUUCUCUUCCGUCGGCAUCGUCCGGCGCGCGUGGCCGACCUCCCGACAGCCACCUCCCGACAGCCACCUCCCGACAAAGGCAGGUAGGCGCUGUCGCUUCCCGGUUUCCUGCAUAUGCUACAGUGACGCUCCCCUUUCAGCCCUAGAGACGGAAAUCGUGGAACUCCAUCUUUAGAAAUGGCCAACCAGUCUGAUCUGUGGCAGAAGGAUGAAAAUUAAUGCAUUAUGCCACAGAGUUGCGUGCAAAACUUUCACAAUUUUGGGACUCUCUUUGUCUGUCUGUUUCUCUCUCUCUCACGUUAUUGGUGGGUACCUGAAUUGCAUUGUUUUUCCUUUGGUUUAAAUUUGUGUGAUAAAGAGUCAGUAGGGAUAGAAUGUGGAAGCUCUGGUCGAAUGAAUGCACUUCAUUGAUUCAUUCUUUGUUUGUAAGCAGCAGUCUUAAUGUAUACUCAGGAUAAAGGUAGUGAUAGGAAAAAGAGAGAGCUUCCAAUUGGUUUUCUUAACUGUGCCUCUGCACUUUUUGUACUACGUAGAGGCUUCAGAAGAUUCUGCCAUUAGAUUCUGUUGUCGUUGUCUUCAAAAUGGAUUCAGGUGUGCUUCUGCUUUGGCUCAUGUUAUGAUUCGAUGCAUCAAUAUGAACAUGUAUAAUGUGCUUCAGAAUGUUCAAUUCUAUCAAUUGCCUUCUUUAGGAUUCUUCUAUUUUUUAAUGGUUGAAGUAUCAACUGCAACUUAAUUGUUUUCUUUUCUUGCUUUUUGAAAUAGCAAUGAAGUGAGCAUUCUUUGUCAUGUCUUGCUUCAACCUCUUUUCCUUGUCCACACAAUGCAAAAUGAACUCAUUAAGAGUCUAUUUCUGCUUUUAAAGUUAUAUUUUAUUUUAAACUGUUUGUACUGUGGUGGAAGGGAAAGAAGAAUCAUAUACACUAUAAAGUCUUCUGGCAAAUUUAGACUCAGUGGCUUGUAACUUUAAAGCUAGAUAAGACAUAUCCAUGAUUGCUCCCUUUUGUUUCCCUUGCCCUUAUAUUUUAAUGAAACAAGUUGACUCAAAUGAGUACUUGUUUCAGCCUUCUCGUUUUUUACAAAACGUUUUUCAACUUCAUUAAGGAACACCUUAACACUAACCUCUUCAGAAAUAGCGCUCCUAAAGUUUUCUAUGAUAGACUUCUUCAUGAUUGUUGGACUUAGGCGAUUGGAACACUCUCAUCGUUCAAAGUCCUGCUUGUCUUCACAAGAACUUUUAUUUAUCAGAGCAGGUGGGUGCUUCUUCUGAAACACAAAGUUCAGAUCUAUGCAAUCCAGAACAAUCAUAACAUUUUCUUUCUAAAUCUUGAAAUUGGAAUAAUUUAGCUCAGAAAUAGAACUUAAAUUUGUAGAUAUCAUUGAAACAAAAGAACUCAUUGUUUUAUUUCUUUCAGCUUUCUUCUUUUGUUUUAUUUCAGUCUUGACAGCCGUCGUCUACUUGCAUUUUGAUGCAUAGUUGAUUAACUACUCUAAGAAUAAAAAAAACCUACACGUUAGUUUUUUGUAUUCUGUAUGCGUGCUUUCAUUAGGGAGAAGCUUUGAUUAAACAGUCUGGAUUUAGCUUUUAGAGUGUGAAUCAGAGACACAGGACAAGGUGGAAUGCUCAUGGAUACCAUGCGACUGACAAGGACCUGAAAGUUUUGUGUGGAGGCAUAAAGCUGAAAGCAAGUGGACAUAUGUCAACCUAAAUUAAGUCGUUACAAUAUUUAAGCAAUUAGGUUGGACUUCACUCUUUGGUUCUUAAUCUUGGAAGAGUGACUGCUGAUAAUAGAAGAGUUGCAGUUAGCCACACUACCUUGCUUCUUUGGAUAUUAAGCACCAGUGACUGUUCAAUUUGCAGCUCUGCACUGAUAAUUUGUAGUUUUGUCUUAAAGGCCUAACUGGUGACAAUAGAUGGAUCUGUUUUAUCCAGUUAGUUUUAUUAUUUCAUGCCUAUACAUGUUGCUGCAAGAUCAAAAUAAAACAUUGCUGCCAAUGGUCAUUGUGGACUACAGCUUGGGCCAUGUAAACUGAUGACGUAGUACAUGAUACACUAUCUCAACUGGAGCAAGCACCACAUUUGUAAAGAAGGCUUCCUUAGCAAGCUUACACGUUGAAGUCCCUAUGGCUGAUGAAGAUGCAGCCCACCAUCAAACAGAAGUGAAGACUGAGGACAUUCAAAAUUUUGAUGAUAGCGAUGUUUCAGCUCGCAUGGAGAAGUACAGUAAGUAUAAAGCAGAGUAUGCCCGAAGGAUAAAGGCCAAGUACUUCUCCAAGAAAUCUCCAAAUGGAGUAAAUGUAUUUGAGAAGGAAACAUCGAUAGAUGAUGAACUUAUAAAAUCAAGCCGGUGGCCAUGCACAAAAUAUUUUAUUGAAUGUAUUAACAAUGUGGAGGAUAUCAGUAAGCUGUCUGGAGUUGUUGCUGAUGCUGCUGCAAGUACGCCACCAAGGAAAGCAUCGUCCAAAAAGUAGCCGAUCAGUAGGAGUGCAGAAGCCUUACUUUCUUUAAAGACGUUUCAGCGUUUGGUUACAACAUUAACUAAUUUGUCAUCCUAUGUAUAUACAUUUUGUAACAUGAACCCUUGAUCCUAUUCUUUGAUCUUGACACGGGCUUCCAGCCUAAAUGUAGUAAACAGUAGAGCCAAUUCCCAUGGUGCUACAUCAGUAUCCUCUUAUGAGAUGAUAGCUCGAUGAGUUUUCCGGCAACUCGUUUGCCAUCUUUUUUAUAAAUUUGUCUAUUUUAGUUGGUGUUAGCA